UGAGCAAUCUGCCCUUCACAUCGGAAUAAGCGUUGGAAACGACGUCUAAUGCCGAAUACGACCUCCUUUCGCAUGAUCGGAGGUGGAAAGCUCCGGCGGAGAAGGAUGAGCCCGCGGCCUAUCAGCUAGUUGGUGUGGGUAAUGGCCCACAAGGCGACGACGGGUAGCCGGCCUGAGAGGGUGACCGGCCACACGUGGGACUGAGACACGGCCCAGACCUCCGUACGGGAGG
rnacentral:rRNA from 1 species